rnacentral:rRNA from 1 species
UUAUGGCUCAGGAUGAACGCUGGCGGCGUGCUUAACACAUGCAAGUCGAACGAAGCAACUAUACGAUCCUCGGGUGACGAUUGUUGACUGAGUGGCGGACGGGUGAGUAACGCGUGGGUAACCUGCCUUGUACAGGGGGACAACAGUUGGAAACGACUGCUAAUACCGCAUAAGCGCACAGCUUCGCAUGAAGCAGUGUGAAAAGUUUUUCGGUACAAGAUGGACCCGCGUCUGAUUAGCUAGUUGGUGAGGUAACGGCCCACCAAGGCGACGAUCAGUAGCCGACCUGAGAGGGUGACCGGCCACAUUGGGACUGAGACACGGCCCAAACUCCUACGGGAGGCAGCAGUGGGGAAUAUUGCACAAUGGGCGAAAGCCUGAUGCAGCGACGCCCGCGUGAGCGAAGAAGUAUUUCGGUAUGUAAAGCUCUAUCAGCAGGGAAGAUAAUGACGGUACCUGACUAAGAAGCACCGGCUAAAUACGUGCCAGCAGCUGC